CUCGUGCGUCACGACGCCGCCAGCUGAUCGGAGCCUGGAGCCGGUGUGUGCUGGGUGCCGAGAAGAGACAGCGCCGCCGGCCGUGGGGAGCGGACGCAGUGAUUUGCUCCCCCUCGUGCAGCAACCCCCACACCCAGCACCAGGAGCCUGUUCCUCUCACGCCCUCACCUGGCUGAGCCGCAGUAGUUCUUCAGUGGCAAGCUUUAUGUCCUGACCCAGCUAAAGCUGCCAGUUGAAGAACUGUUGCCCUCUGCCCCUGGCUUCGAGGAGGAGGAGGAGCUGCUUUCCCCAUCAUCUGGAAGGUGACAGAAAUGGGCUGGGAAGGUCCGAACAGCAGGGUGGAUGAUACGUUUUGGGCAAGUUGGAGAGCCUUUGCCCAGAUUGGCCCAGCAAGGAGCGGUUUUAGAUUAGAGACACUGGCUGGAUUGAGGAGUAGAAGGCUCAAACAACCCAAGGAAGCUGUGUCUGUUCGAUUUGGUGGGAGGAGAUGUGCAGGGAGCUGUAUCUUGUCCUCCGCUUGUGAAAAACUCAAGGAUGUGGAGAAGAGUAGACCGUGGAACCCUGCUCUUCUGCAGCCAAGCUGAGGGGCAGGAUGCGUGUGGGACAGUGGUAGAGAAGCAGGGGAUAGACUCAUAGGCUGCAACAAAGGUGACUCUGUCCCUGGACACUGCCUCCGUACUUUCUCCUUGCUUCACUGGCCACAGCAUCUCCCUCCAGCCCUCGCUAUGUGCCUCUGCCAUCUUCACCCAUCAUGGAGCAGAGGUGAGGAGAGGCAGCCUGGGAAUAUGGAGACCAGUGAAGGACCAGGCCUGGAGAGCACAGGGUCCUACCUGGGCAUCCAGCAGAGGAGCCCCUAAAGGCCAGGAGCACCCCAAGAGGAGGGAGGGCAGCCAGCCUCCAUUGACGGCGAGCCUCCAGCCCUCUCCUACUUUGAUCACCAUUUCUCUCCAGGCUUUCUGCCUCCGAGAUGUGGCACCAUAGUGCGGUGCCCUGUGGCUUCACCGCCCUACUUCCACCUCCGCCCAGCCUGUAAUGUUUAUAUAAGCAGCCUCAAGGACCAAGAACCAUCUGCGAAAGGACACACACAGGAAAUUCAUAAAAGAAAUCUGAAUGGAUAAAACCAUGAAAAAAAGUAUGCUUCAUUAGUAAUUAAAGAAAGGCAAAUAGAGCUGGAAGCAUUUUUCCCUUAGCAAACCAUAACAGAAAAAAAUAAGACCCAAUAUUGGCAAAGAGACUACUGAAAAAACAUUCCCAUACAUUGCGUGUGGGAGUAUACAUCGGUGCAGGCUUCCUGGAUGACAGUUGGGUGAUAUGUGUCAUGUGGCCUAAAAGCCUCCAUGUCAUUUGACCUACGAAUUCUAUCUUUGGGAAUUUAUCCUAAGAAAAUACUUAAGGAUUUAGUUAGUGAUAAGAUGUUCAUCCCAGCAUUGCAAUGGAGAAAAAUGGGAAGCAAUGGUUUGGUUGGGAAUUUAUUCCUUUUCUGCUGUAACGAAAGUUUGCAAUAGGGGAUUGCUUAAGUAAAUUAUUGUAUCUCCAUCCAGAUGGUGGAGUACCGCGCAGACAUUAAAAGUCAUGUAAAAGAACAUCUGACUGAAAGAAAAAUGCUCCUUGAAUAUUAAAAGGUUGUAAAAAUAGUGCAUGUUAUGUGAUUUCAAUUUUGUUUUUUAAAAUAUGGGUGUAUGCUUGUAUACGUAGAGCAGAUAAAAAAGACGGAAGGCAUACUAAAAAAUGUUGAGUGGUUAUCUUUGUAUGGUGGAACAAAGUCACUGUAAUUUUCAUCUUUGGUUUUUCUGUAAUUUCCAAAUUUUCCACAUUUUGUAUUUCAUAUAAUAUAAUUUAAGAGAUCA
rnacentral:lncRNA from 10 species